rnacentral:rRNA from 1 species
UUGUCUCAAAGAUUAAGCCAUGCAUGUCUCAGUACGAGCCACGUUAAGGUGAAACCGCGAAAGGCUCAUUAAAUCAGUUAUGGUUCCUUAGAUCGUACCCACACUUACUUGGAUAACUGUGGUAAUUCUAGAGCUAAUACAUGCAAACAGAGCUCCGACCGGAGACGGAAGGAGUGCUUUUAUUAGAUCAAAACCAAUCGGUGGCGGGUGCGCGCUCGCGCGCUCCCGUCCGCCGCUCGACCUGGUGACUCUGAAUAACUUUCGGCUGAUCGCACGGUCUCGCACCGGCGACGCAUCUUUCAAAUGUCUGCCUUAUCAACUGUCGAUGGUAGGUUCUGCGCCUACCAUGGUCGUAACGGGUAACGGGGAAUCAGGGUUCGAUUCCGGAGAGGGAGCCUGAGAAACGGCUACCACAUCCAAGGAAGGCAGCAGGCGCGCAAAUUACCCACUCCCGGCACGGGGAGGUAGUGACGAAAAAUAACGAUACGGGACUCAUCCGAGGCCCCGUAAUCGGAAUGAGUACACUUUAAAUCCUUUAACGAGGACCCAUUGGAGGGUAAGUCUGGUGCCAGCAGCCGCGGUAAUUCCAGCUCGAAUAGCGUA